ACGGAAAGACCCCGUGAACCUUUACUAUAGCUUGACACUGAACAUUGAGCCUUGAUGUGUAGGAUAGGUGGGAGGCUUUGAAGUGUGGACGCCAGUCUGCAUGGAGCCAACCUUGAAAUACCACCCUUUAAUGUUUGAUGUUCUAACGUAGACCCGUAAUCCGGGUUGCGGACAGUGUCUGGUGGGUAGUUUGACUGGGGCGGUCUCCUCCCAAAGAGUAACGGAGGAGCACGAAGGUUAGCUAAUCCUGGUCGGACAUCAGGAGGUUAGUGCAAUGGCAUAAGCUAGCUUGACUGCGAGCGUGACGGCGCGAGCAGGUGCGAAAGCAGGUCAUAGUGAUCCGGUGGUUCUGAAUGGAAGGGCCAUCGCUCAACGGAUAAAAGGUACUCCGGGGAUAACAGGCUGAUACCGCCCAAGAGUUCAUAUCGACGGCGGUGUUUGGCACCUCGAUGUCGGCUCAUCACAUCCUGGGGCUGAAGUAGGUCCCAAGGGUAUGGCUGUUCGCCAUUUAAAGUGGUACGCGAGCUGGGUUUAGAACGUCGUGAGACAGUUCGGUCCCUAUCUGCCGUGGGCGCUGGAGAAUUGAGGGGGGCUGCUCCUAGUACGAGAGGACCGGAGUGGACGCAUCACUGGUGUUCGGGUUGUCAUGCCAAUGGCAUUGCCCGGUAGCUACAUGCGGAAGAGAUAAGUGCUGAAAGCAUCUAAGCACGAAACUUGCCCCGAGAUGAGUUCUCCCUGAGACUUUAAGUCUCCUGAAGGAACGUUGAAGACGACGACGUUGAUAGGCUGGGUGUGUAAGUGCAGCGAUGCAUUGAGCUAACCAGUACUAAUGAACCGUGAGGCUUAACCUUACAACGCCAAAGGUGUUUUG
rnacentral:rRNA from 1 species